AUGUGCUCUUUGUGAGCUCUGAACUAGCUAGAACACUUAUUUUAGCAUAGUGAUUUCAUUCAUAGGUGCUGCAUGUAAGCAUACCUGCAGGUCACAGAGAUGUGCAUCACUGUGGACAAGUUUAAAUGUAAUGCGACAAGGUAGACCACCCUUCCAAGCUUAGUGGGAAAUAAAUUCUUUUUGGAUCCUUGCCUACUUUAGUGUCCAAAACUAGCAGUAACACUCAAAAUAGUAGAAGUUCAGUAUAAAAGCAAGUCUGCCAAAUGUCCCUAUCAUCAAAGCACAGAUGUGUUCAGUAGAGAAUGAAAUCUCAAGGGUGUGCUCACAGGGUCCAGCCUUGGCAAAUAGGCCAAGGAUAACAGGAUAACAGCAGCCAACAAGACAGGAGUGAGAGUAAGGUUGUGGUUGCGUGGGAUGUCUGAACUGCCUGAGAUGGCAUUUGUCAAAAUCUGAUAAUUCAUGGAGAACAUGGACCAGGACAGGGAAGAAUGCUUCCAGGAUUAAUGUCGUGCUCCUGAGACUGGGCUUAAAUCAGUGAGUGCCUGGGACAGCAGGCCAGACCCUGAACUUCUUUCUUUUUCAGGC